ACUCCUACGGGAGGCAGCAGUGGGAAUAUUGGACAAUGGGGGAAACCCGUAGCAUCCAGCCAUGCCGCGUGUGUGAAGAAGGCCUUCGGGUUGUAAAGCACUUUCAGUGGGGAGGAAAGGUUGUUGGUUAAUACCUAACAGCUGUGACGUUACCCACAGAAGAAGCACCGGCUAACUCCGUGCCAGCAGCCGCGGUAAUACGGAGGGUGCAAGCGUUAAUCGGAAUUACUGGGCGUAAAGCGUGCGCAGGCGGUCUGUUAAGCGAGAUGUGAAAGCCCCGGGCUGCAACCAUGGGAGCAUGCAUUUCGAACUUGGCAGACUGAGAGUCUUG
rnacentral:rRNA from 1 species